AACCAUUCUCACCUGCGGCUAGACCUGCGGAAGGAUCAUUAACGAGUUAGGGUCGUUCUGGCCCGAACUUCCAACCCCUUGUUUAUCACACCAUGUUGCUUUGGUAGGCCCGCUCUCUUAGGGGGGCCGCCGGAGGUUAUCCUACCUCUAGCCCGUGCCUGCCAGUAGCCUUAUUAAAUUCUUUUUAACUGUGUCUGAGUGGUAUUUUCAAAUCAUUUAAAACUUUUAGCAACGGAUCUC
rnacentral:misc_RNA from 1 species